rnacentral:lncRNA from 1 species
CCGCUCCUCCGCUUCCUUCCUUUGCCCCCACGCCUUCCUUCUCUCCUUCUUCGGGACCCAUGCUGCGCCCCUGCCCAUCGCCCUUGCUCUCCUGCUCCCAGUGGGCCAGAAGCCAUCUGCUGUCUCUCGUCUCGUCCUUCCGCUGGCUCCCGCCACCGCCUUCCCUGGAGGCUCCCUCUUCCCUAGCCUUGGCCCGUCUCACCUUCCUGCCUCUUCCGUCUUCCCUUUCAUCAAGCCACUGUCUACUGGCCUCUACGCGGUCCCGCCGCUCAGUCCUCCGCUUCCUUCCUUUGCCCCCACGCCUUCCUUCUCUCCUUCUUCGGGACCCAUGCUGCGCCCCUGCCCAUCGCCCUUGCUCUCCUGCUCCCAGUGGGCCAGGUCGGGAUCCACCCCGCUCUGCCCUCUUGCCCUCUUGGGCACGGUCCCCUCACAACACCCACAUGCAGACUUUGAGAUGCUCCUCUCGGUCUCCAGCCCUUUCUGCCUUGCCCUCUCUCUGUUGUCCCUUGGCUGCAGCCGGCAGGGCAAGAGCCCCCACCUCCCAGCCCCCACUGUCCCACCCCUCGCUCUCUCCCUCCGCGCCCCUUGGCUGACAACGUCAUCUUCUGCGACACGACCUGUGACCCCACGCUGGUUUGAAGGUCCCCGUCUAUCCGUGCUUGCCUCUGCGGGCUCCUCCCGCCCCGUGCUAGACUACCUCCAUUCCUCUGCGGGUCCCCUGAAAUAGCAGAAGCAGGCAUUUGGCGAUCUUUGCGAACUCUCACCUCCGCCUUGCUUCCUACCUGCUCCUCUGCCAUUUCUAAGCGUGCCUGCCAUCCACACGCUGGACUCCAUGCUCGUGAGUCCAUCCCGAAGGCCCUGACGUGCUUCCUGAGCGGGGUGCCUCAUAACUGCCAGCCUGCCCCGUUUCCUCUGUGUCACUACAGCCACCGUAUCCCCUUUCCGCACCUGUUCCCCAGGGGUCCGGCUCUUCACACCCCCCGGGCCGUGAGUCCUGCCUCCGCGCUCCCGCCCUGCUCCUGCCACGUGGCCUCCAUUCCUCCCCUGCCAAGCCCCUUGCCCAGACAUCGGCCCAUGUCCCAACACCGCACGCUCUUCAGGCUGGCUUCCCCUUUUCCCACCCGGAGUCCCCCGCACCUUCACGAGGUUCCCUCCCCUCUUCAGUCCCGCCUGCCCCUGUCUCUUCCCAUCGGCUAUCCUGACCCCACCCACAGCCCGCAGACCACCUGCUCACGGCUGCCCGAGACUCCACUAUCGCCCUCUGCGCACGUCCCUGCUGUGCGGAUUUCAACCCUUCUUGGCCCAUCCUCCUCUUUUUCUCCCACUGUCGUCUCUGAGAGACCCUCGCGUCAUCUUCAGCCACCGUCCUACUCGCCCUCGUAGCUGUCGGGCCCGUGAGGCAGCCACCGUCUUCCCCCAGCAACUUGUGCCCUGGAUGCCCUGCCCUCAUGCUCCCCGCCUUGCCCUCUUCAUCGCCAACGUGCUGUGCCGAAUCCAUCUGCUCUCCCAGUUCGCUCCCAAGGCCCCUACCGUUUUAGCUGCCACCAUUUUUGAGACGGUCACUCCUCCUCUGGGCGUCUCUCUGACCUUUCCCGUCUCCCCGUGCCCCACACUGACAGGGCUGUCUCCAGCACCUUCCAGGCCACUACCACCACCGCCUCAUCCUCCUCCGUUCUCCUCCCUCCCGCCUCUCCUGCGUUCCUUGAUUCCUCGCCCACGCUGUGCUCUGCUCCCGGGUGCGCUUCCUCAGGGCCCUGGUCCACUCACGGGAACACACUUCCUUGAUUCUCCACGUCCAGCCCUUCCUUCGGGCCCUCCGCCGGCCCUCGUGGCCCGGCACGUCCCUGGUCCUCUGUGCAAGCCUCUCCUGUCCCCAGCGGUCAGGCGCCACGGCCUGCCCCUCUCCCGCUUCCGGCCGGCUGGACCGCCUCUCCUCGACCCUACUCUCCCGCGUCUUGCACGCUGCUCCCCUCACCUCCUCCUGCCUCC